GAUGAAGAACGUAGCGAAAUGCGAUAAGUAAUGUGAAUUGCAGAAUUCAGUGAAUCAUCGAAUCUUUGAACGCACAUUGCGCCCGCCAGUAUUCUGGCGGGCAUGCCUGUUCGAGCGCCAUUACAACCCUCAGGCCCCCGGGCCUGGCGUUGGGGAUCGGCGGAGCCCCCCGUGGGCACACGCCGUCCCCCAAAUGCAGUGGCGGUCCCGCCGCAGCUUCCAUCGCGUAGUAGCUAACACCUCGCGACUGGAGAGCGGCGCGGCCACGCCGUAAAACACCCAACUCUUCUGAAGUUGACCUCGAAUCAGGUAGGAAUACCCGCUGAACUUAAGCAUAUCAAUAGGCGGAGGA
rnacentral:misc_RNA from 1 species